UACGUAGGGUGCGAGCGUUGUCCGGAAUUAUUGGGCGUAAAGAGCUCGUAGGCGGUUCGUCGCGUCGGCUGUGAAAUCCCGAGGCUCAACCUCGGGUCUGCAGUCGAUACGGGCGGACUGGAGUUCGGCAGGGGAGACUGGAAUUCCUGGUGUAGCGGUGAAAUGCGCAGAUAUCAGGAGGAACACCGGUGGCGAAGGCGGAUCUCCUGGGCCGUAACUGACGCUGAGGAGCGAAAGCAUGGGGAGCGAACAGG
rnacentral:rRNA from 1 species